GGAUUCCCCUAGUAACUGCGAGUGAAGCGGGAAAAGCUCAAAUUUGAAAUCUGGCAGCUCUUUGAACUGUCCGAGUUGUAAUCUAGAGAAGUGUUACCUGUGUUGGACCGUGUACAAGUCUCCUGGAAUGGAGCGUCACAGAGGGUGAGAAUCCCGUCUUUGACACGGACUGCCUGCACGUUAUGGUGCGCUCUCAAAGAGUCGAGUUGUUUGGGAAUGCAGCUCAAAAUGGGUGGUAAAUGCCAUCUAAAGCUAAAUAUUGGCGAGAGACCGAUAGCGAACAAGUACCGUGAGGGAAAGAUGAAAAGAACUUUGGAAAGAGAGUUAAACAGUACGUGAAAUUGCUGAAAGGGAAACGCUUGAAGUCAGUCGCGUCGGCUAGAAAUCAACCUUGCUUUUGCUUGGUGUACUUUCUUGUUGACGGGUCAGCAUCAAUUUUGACCGUCGGAUAAAGUCAUUGGGAAUGUGGCAUCUUAGGAUGUGUUAUAGCCCAUUGUCGCAUACGACGGUUGGGAUUGAGGAACUCAGCACGCCCGCAAGGGACGGGUUUUUUGACCACGUUCGUGCUUAGGAUGCUGGCAUAAUGGCUUUAAUCGACCCGUCUUGAAACACGGACCAAGGAGUCUAACAUGCCUGCGAGUGUUUGGGUGGAAAACCCAUGCGCGCAAUGAAAGUGAAAGUUGAGAUCCCUCCCUCCAGGGGGGAGCAUUGACGCCCGGACCAGACCUUCUGUGACGGAUCCGCGGUAGAGCAUGUAUGUUGGGACCCGAAAGAUGGUGAACUAUGCCUGAAUAGGGUGAAGCCAGAGGAAACUCUGGUGGAGGCUCGUAGCGAUUCUGACGUGCAAAUCGAUCGUCAAAUUUGGGUAUAGGGGCGAAAGACUAAUCGAACCAUCUAGUAGCUGG
rnacentral:rRNA from 1 species